AUUGAACGCUGGCGGCAUGCCUUACACAUGCAAGUCGAACGGUAACAGGCCGCAAGGUGCUGACGAGUGGCGAACGGGUGAGUAAUGCAUCGGAACGUGCCCAGUCGUGGGGGAUAACGCAGCGAAAGCUGCGCUAAUACCGCAUACGAUCCAUGGAUGAAAGCGGGGGACCGUAAGGCCUCGCGCGAUUGGAGCGGCCGAUGUCAGAUUAGGUAGUUGGUGGGGUAAAGGCGCACCAAGCCAACGGUCUGUAGCUGGUCUGAGAGGACGACCAGCCACACUGGGACUGAGACACGGCCCAGACUCCUACGGGAGGCAGCAGUGGGGAAUUUUGGACAAUGGGCGCAAGCCUGAUCCAGCAAUGCCGCGUGCAGGAAGAAGGCCUUCGGGUUGUAAACUGCUUUUGUACGGAACGAAACGGUCCUGGUUAAUACCUGGGGCUAAUGACGGUACCGUAAGAAUAAGCACCGGCUAACUACGUGCCAGCAGCCGCCGUAAUAC
rnacentral:rRNA from 1 species